CAUCGAUGAAGAACGCAGCGAAAUGCGAUACGUAAUGUGAAUUGCAGAAUUCAGUGAAUCAUCGAAUCUUUGAACGCAUAUUGCGCUCUUUGGUAUUCCGAAGAGCAUGCUUGUUUGAGUAUCAGUAAACACCUCAAAGCCUUUUUUUGUUAAGAGACUUUGGACUUGAGCAAUCCCAACACUUUAUUUACUAGAGUGGCGGGUUGCUUGAAAUGCAGGUGCAGCUGGACAUUCUCCUGAGCUAAAAGCAUAUUCAUUUAGUCCCGUCAAACGGAUUAUUACUUUUGCUGCAGCUAAUAUAAAGGGAGUUUGACCAUUUUGGCUGACUGAUGCAGGAUUUUCACAAGAGUCUUCAAACCACUCUUGUUAAACUCGAUCUCAAAUCAAGUAAGACUACCCGCUGAACUUAAGCAUAUCAAUAAGCGGAG
rnacentral:rRNA from 1 species